CCGGCACGGGUGAGUAACACGUAUGCAACCUGCCUGCCACAGCCGGAUAAUCGGGAGAAAUUCCGUCUAAUACGGCAUAAUGCAUCAACGGGACAUCCUGUUGGUGCCAAAGGUUGAUUCCGGUGGCGGAUGGGCAUGCGUCGCAUUAGUUAGUUGGCGGUGUAACGGACCACCAAGACGACGAUGCGUAGGGGUUCUGAGAGGAAGGUCCCCCACACUGGUACUGAGACACGGACCAGACUCCUACGGGAGGCAGCAG
rnacentral:rRNA from 1 species